UUUGCACCGGCAAGUCCUACACGACCAGCUCCUGCAGACUCCCCCAGGGUGGGAACGCAGCAAGGGUACGCGGUUGAGCGGUGCGAUGUAGGUCGCUUGCCAUUUU
rnacentral:SRP_RNA from 1 species